rnacentral:rRNA from 1 species
GAUUGAACGCUGGCGGUAUGCUUAACACAUGCAAGUCGAACGGAAACGAUACUAGCUUGCUAGUAGGCGUCGAGUGGCGGACGGGUGAGUAACGCGUAGGAAUCUGCCUGAUAGUGGGGGAUAGCCCGAAGAAAUUCGGAUUAAUACCGCAUAAUCUAUUCGUAGUAAAGUGGGGGACUUUCGAGCCUCACGCUAUCAGAUGAGCCUGCGUAAGAUUAGCUUGUUGGUAGGGUAAAAGCCUACCAAGGCGACGAUCUUUAGCUGGUCUGAGAGGAUGAUCAGCCACAUCGGGACUGAGACACGGCCCGAACUCCUACGGGAGGCAGCAGUGGGGAAUAUUGGACAAUGGGGGCAACCCUGAUCCAGCAAUACCGCGUGUGUGAAGAAGGCCUGAGGGUUGUAAAGCACUUUCAAUUGUGAAGAAAAGUUAGCGGUUAAUAACCGUUAGCCUUGACGUUAACUUUAGAAGAAGCACCGGCUAACUCCGUGCCAGCAGCCGCGGUAAUACGGAGGGUGCAAGCGUUAAUCGGAAUUACUGGGCGUAAAGCGUGCGUAGGCGGUUUAUUAAGUCAGAUGUGAAAGCCCCGGGCUUAACCUGGGAACUGCAUUUGAAACUGGUCAACUAGAGUAUGGUAGAGGAAAGUGGAAUUUCUGGUGUAGCGGUGAAAUGCGUAGAUAUCAGAAGGAACAUCAAUGGCGAAGGCAGCUUUCUGGACCAAUACUGACGCUGAGGUACGAAAGCGUGGGUAGCAAACAGGAUUAGAUACCCUGGUAGUCCACGCCGUAAACGAUGAUAACUAGCCGUUGGGGGGAUUUACCCUUUAGUGGCGAAGCUAACGCGUUAAGUUAUCCGCCUGGGGAGUACGGCCGCAAGGUUAAAACUCAAAGGAAUUGACGGGGACCCGCACAAGCGGUGGAGCAUGUGGUUUAAUUCGAUGCAACGCGAAGAACCUUACCUGGUCUUGACAUCCUGCGAACUUUCUAGAAAUAGAUUGGUGCCUUCGGGAACGCAGUGACAGGUGCUGCAUGGCUGUCGUCAGCUCGUGUCGUGAGAUGUUGGGUUAAGUCCCGUAACGAGCGCAACCCCUAUCCUUAUUUGCCAGCACAUCAUGGUGGGAACUAUAAGGAGACUGCCGGUGAUAAACCGGAGGAAGGCGGGGACGACGUCAAGUCAUCAUGGCCCUUACGACCAGGGCUACACACGUGCUACAAUGGGAAGGACAAAGAGCCGCGAAGCCGCGAGGUGUAGCUAAUCUCAUAAACCUUUUCGUAGUCCGGAUUGGAGUCUGCAACUCGACUCCAUGAAGUCGGAAUCGCUAGUAAUCGUAGAUCAGAAUGCUACGGUGAAUACGUUCCCGGGUCUUGUACACACCGCCCG